rnacentral:tRNA from 1 species
ACUCUAAUAGUUUAUCAAAAACAUUGGUCUUGUAAACCAAAGACUGAAGAUUACACCUCUUCUUAGAGUUACCCCACCACAAACC